UACGUAGGGUGCGAGCGUUGUCCGGAAUUAUUGGGCGUAAAGGGCUCGUAGGCGGUUUGUCGCGUCGGGAGUGAAAACCUCGGGCUUAACUCGGGGCUUGCUUUCGAUACGGGCAGACUAGAGGUAUGCAGGGGGAGAACGGAAUUCCUGGUGUAGCGGUGGAAAUGCGCAGAUAUCAGGAGGAACACCGGUGGCGAAGGCGGUUCUCUGGGCAUAACUGACGCUGAGGAGCGAAAGCGUGGGGAGCAAACAGG
rnacentral:rRNA from 1 species